rnacentral:lncRNA from 1 species
UGUGCCAAGCGUAGCCUUCAGCUCAUCGCUGCCAACCAAAACGCCCACAGCCAACGUCCUUCAGCCGCUUUACUGGCCACCGCGCAGGCGCAGCACCAGGUGCAGGGUCGACUCCUUCUGGAUGUUGUAGUCAGCCAGGGUGCGGCCGUCCUCCAGCUGCUUGCCGGCGAAGAUCAGGCGCUGCUGGUCCGGGGGGAUGCCUGCAUCCGGAGAGGAAACGCUCGUGUCAGACAAAGUGGGUGGGCGCAGGAAGCGGCAAUCAACACAGCCCAGUGCAGCUGCAAACCGCCCGCCUUACCACUGACCCGCCUGGCCACCCGCCCCUACCCCGCCUAAGAAAAGAGCCCCGACUCACCCUCCUUGUCCUGAAUCUUGGCCUUCACGUUCUCAAUGGUGUCCGAAGACUCCACCUCGAGCGUGAUGGUCUUGCCCGUCAGGGUCUUGACGAAGAUCUGCAUGCCACCGCGCAGGCGCAGCACCAGGUGCAGAGUCGACUCCUUCUGGAUGUUGUAGUCAGCCAGGGUGCGGCCGUCCUCCAGCUGCUUGCCGGCGAAGAUCAGGCGCUGCUGGUCCGGGGGGAUGCCUGCAUCCGGAGAGGAAACACUCGUGUAAGCCAGAGUGGGCGGGCGCAGGAAGCGGCAAUCAACACAGCCCAGUGCAGCUGCAAACCGCCCGCCUUACCACUGACCCGCCUGGCCAGCCGCCCCUGCCCCCGUUAGAACAGAGCCCCGACUCACCCUCCUUGUCCUGAAUCUUGGCCUUCACGUUCUCAAUGGUGUCCGACGACUCCACCUCGAGCGUGAUGGUCUUGCCCGUCAGGGUCUUGACGAAGAUCUGCAUGCCACCGCGCAGGCGCAGCACCAGGUGCAGAGUCGACUCCUUCUGGAUGUUGUAGUCAGCCAGGGUGCGGCCGUCCUCCAGCUGCUUGCCGGCGAAGAUCAGGCGCUGCUGGUCCGGGGGGAUGCCUGCAUCCGGAGAGGAAACACUCGUGUAAGCCAGAGUGGGCGGGCGCAGGAAGCGGCAAUCAACGCAGCCAAGUGCAGCUGCGUCCGCCUUACCACUGACCCGCUUGGCCACCUGCCCCUAUCCCCGGUAAGGAAAGAGCCCCGACUCACCCUCCUUGUCCUGAAUCUUGGCCUUCACGUUCUCAAUGGUGUCCGAAGACUCCACCUCGAGCGUGAUGGUCUUGCCCGUCAGGGUCUUGACGAAGAUCUGCAUGCCACCGCGCAGGCGCAGCACCAGGUGCAGAGUCGACUCCUUCUGGAUGUUGUAGUCAGCCAGGGUGCGGCCGUCCUCCAGCUGCUUGCCGGCGAAGAUCAGGCGCUGCUGGUCCGGGGGGAUGCCUGCAUCCGGUGAGGAAACACUCAUGUCAGACAAAGUGGGUGGGCGCAGGAAGCAGCAAUCAACACAGCCCAGUGCAGCUGCAAAGCGCCCGCCUUACCCUGAC